rnacentral:rRNA from 1 species
AGGACGAACGCUGGCGGCGUGCUUCACACAUGCAAGUCGAACGGGGCUCAUUCGGUGGUAACACCGGAGAAGGCCUAGUGGCGAACGGGUGCGUAACACGUGAAGAACCUGCCCCGAAGACUGGGAUAACAGCGGGAAACCGCUGCUAAUACCGGAUGACCCCACCAGGCCGCAUGGCCAGGUGAGGAAAUGGGCCUACCGCUUCGGGAGGGCUUCGCGGCCUAUCAGCUUGUUGGUGGGGUAACGGCCUACCAAGGCUACGACGGGUAGCUGGUCUGAGAGGACGACCAGCCACACUGGGACUGAGACACGGCCCAGACUCCUACGGGAGGCAGCAGUGGGGAAUCUUGCGCAAUGGGCGAAAGCCUGACGCAGCAACGCCGCGUGAGGGAUGAAGGUCUUCGGGUUGUAAACCUCUUUCGAGCAGGGACGAUUGUGACGGUACCUGCAGAAGAAGCUCCGGCAACUACGCGCCAGCAGCCGCGGU